rnacentral:misc_RNA from 1 species
GAUGAAGAACGUAGUGAAAUGCGAUAAGUAAUGCGAAUUGCAGAAUUCAGUGAAUCAUCGAAUCUUUGAACGCACAUUGCGCCCGCUAGUAUUCUGGCGGGCAUGCCUGUCUGAGCGUCAUUUCAACCCUCGCCCCCGGCUUUUGCUGGGAGCGGUGUUGGGGAUCGGCCGCCCGUCACUGGGAGGCCGGCCCCGAAAUAGAGUGGCGACCACGCCGUGUGCUCCUCUGCGUAGUAGUAAAUCACCUCGCAGGCGGACAGAGGUGCGGCCUGCCGUAAAACCCCCAACUCUUUCUGGUUGACCUCAGAUCAGGUAGGAAUACCCGCUGAACUUAAGCAUAUCAAUAAGCGGAGGA